ensembl:lncRNA
GUUUAAAUUGCACACACGCAGCUGCCUUGCUGUAGUGUUACAGAUGUGAUACUGGUAUCCCAUGUGAGCCGGCUGGGUGUGCUGAGCCUGGUCCACCCCUCUGCUUGGGAUUUUCAAAUCCAGAGUGAUUGUUUAAAUUCUCAUUAUUACAGACUGAAGUACGGGCUUCUAGUUUCCCAAUUGAGUGACUCUUCACUGAGGUCUGAAAGCAGGCCCCAGGCUUUAGCUGUAGCAGCUAAUCCUUGCUACUGAAUAAUGGGUGACUUUACAUAGCAAAUAUGUUACAAGAUCUGAGGUCAGUGGAUGGGAAUGAAGAGCCAGAAAGAAGGUUUAUCACUUCUCUCUGCUUCCCAUGACAAGCCAAGUAGCAGGAGCCAAAUUUGAGCACCAUUACAGAGCAUGUACCAUAGUACUCACUUUCUGGUGAGUUACUGCUGUCAAAGUUCACAGUGCAGUAUUCUCAAGGAGUUUUUAGCUGUGGGAAUCAGACUAGUAGAUGUGGCCUUUCUGUUUUUAGACUUAAUUAGUUGGUGUGCAUUUACUUUUGCAGUCUUCUGGUACUGGCUGAAAAUGCAGGCAUGGUGCAGCAAAACACCAUGCUUGGGGUAUUUCUUCCCUUCAAAUAAUCAUUCUCCUGUUUGCCAGCAGCACUGUUUACAGCCUGAAGAUUGCAGACAGAUGUGUUCAUUCAGUGUGAAUUUCCAGGCAGUUUUCAACCUUUCCUUUAUUUUGAAGUGCCAUGGGAAAAAUAAUCCCUGUUUUUGUAUGCUGGUUUUCAUGUAUGCAGUUGCAAAUGUUGGGAGCCAAGAAUGCGAAGGAUCCAAACCUACAGUAAGUAGGUCAAUCUUGAAAUGCUGUCACGUGUUUGGGCUUUUGCUUUUUUUUUUUUCCCCUUUGGUGAGGCAGCAGAACGUAAGGGUUGAGUUAAGAGGCAGAAAACAGAAGUGCAACUGAGUCCUAUCUCCAGUUUUUUCUCAUUAGCGUCUAGAAAAUGAUAGACCUCAAAGUGACAUUCAUUAAGGAUGAGCUAACAAGCAAGUUCCAGUUGUGAGCCAGGUUCUAUACUGCUUACCUGUUGCAUUCUGAAACUACCACUGUUUUAUUCCAACAUAUUCAGGCAAGUGUGUUCCAGGACCUGAGUCAUGGUAUCCCAGGGCGGCGCUGACUCUGCAAGCUAAAACAGGAGCAGCAAGCAGUAAUUGCAUCCACUUGGUUACUGGAGUGAGAGGCUUGGAGUCUGAAUUCAGUGGUGAUCUGGGAAGCCCGAGUGUUCCAUGCACAGGCCGAUCCCACGACCCCUGAGGAUGUCGGCACCGAUGGGAACGCAUCGCAGCCCUCCCCAGCAGCAGUCCCCACAGGGGCGCUCCCUGUGCACCUCAGAGGAGCCAAUGCUGUAAAUCCCAUCCUGGUGGUCUGUUGUCACACCUUGCCCCUGGGAUGAGGGUCUGUGAGAGGAUGCUGGAGCCCUGAUCCUGACACAGCGGUAACUGCACUGCAGGACAUGCUGAGCCCCGGAAAUUUGGGCUGGAAGGGCUCUUUGGGACUCUGCUCAGAGGCACUUGCAAGAUUCACAGACUGAUUGGAGGACAGCCCACCUCUGACCAUCUCUGUGUUUAUAAAUCCUGUUUGGACUAACGUGAUAUUCAGGGGAACGCAGGUCUUGACCACACACACUGUCAAUACAGGACCUUGGACUUGAACUUUGUGCCUCGGACUUCAGCUUUGUGAGCCCUCAGACAGCCCUUCUGCAGCUGCAUCAGGCCACACACAGUCACAGCUCUCAGCUGGGAGACGACAGGCACAAAGCUGGCACUGGCUCUGUGAUUACUUCUCUGCAAAGUCAAACAGGGCCAAAAAUAAAUGCUAGUGAAGGAAUAAACAGACGUGAAAAGAAGGCUUGGACACUUGGAGGACAAGACUGCUUUGUGUUCCCCAAAGCAAUAAGCCUCUUCACAAGGAGGUUACUCUUUCAGAAAAACACGGGUCCUGUGACACUGCCAAGGUCAGUAGGUGCCCAGCAGAGCAGGGAGCAUUCAAGGCAGACGUGGUUUGGGAAAGGGGCAUAUUUGCUCCCAUUGAAAGAGAGGAGAGAGGAGAGAAAUUUACAUUGCUCUGCCAUGUCAGCUCUUUCUACAGGGUUUGAACACGCACCAGUUUGGCAGCAGAAGGCAGCUUCCACCUAUCUCAGAUGGCAACGUAGCCCCAGCACUGUGGCUGUAUCACUCGCAUGCUGGCUUGGGAAGAGGGCAGUGCUGCUGCAGUUCUGCAGCUGAGGAGGCAGAAGUCCCUUGUGGACGUGGCUCUCUUCUUGUGCUGGUGCUGUACGAGCACUCUAAGCUAGGCCUCUGCUACCUGUCGGCGUGUCUCGGACCGGUCAGCUGCAGUCUGGAUGGGCUUUGCUUUCUGCAGGAAAUAGGCAGAAUUCAAAGCAAAUAGCUUGGUACAGACACCUUGCUUUCUGGUAAGCAAAAUUGGUUAGCAAAGUGCUGCAGUGAUCUCAGUGGGGGUAGGAAGCUUUGGAGUUCACUUUAGGGACUUAACUCAUUCUCCAUCCAGUGCAGUAUCUUUUGAAAUGUGACUUUUUAGGCUCUUUAUUGUCUCAGUUGGCUACAGAAUGAAAAUGCUGGGUAACAUUGAGCAAUGAUAAGAUGAUACAGAGUCUGUCUCCUGCACAAAGGGAAGUGCAGUUCUUUCGCUGUCUCUAAAGCACCAAGUUGUGAGUCAGCCAAAGCAUCUGAGGACUCUGGGUAAGAAACAUGAGCUUUUAAAGGCACCUCAUUAGGACUGAAUCUUCAGCACCGUCUGUAGUGACACACCAAAACAUACUCAUCUCAAAGAGGGCAAAUGUUGAGAAGUUAAGGGAGCUAAUUAGUGGAAUCAGCUGCACUGCAGAUCUGAGGAAUUGAAUGUGAUGGAACUUGGAUUCCAAAACCAGCUGAAACAUGCAGGAAGAUGAACCCUGACAGGAAAUGCUCCAACCCCAGUGGGAUAAAUAACCAGCCCCAAACACGUGGAGAGCAUUAACUGACAUGCAGAAGUUCUGAUUGGCAUGAGGGUAUUCUGCUGGCAUGCAGCUAAGGAUUGAAAUCAGAUGUCUGGAGAGGAACUGCUACAGAAUACGAUGCUCUGCUCUGCUCUGCUCUUUGAUGGAGGCCAUCACUCUUAUCACAGGGCUGACAAAGCAGCUUACCCUGCAGGUUCUGAACAGCCACCACUCCAGUGACGUGUUCAGUGCAGCAGUUCUGGACCUGCCUUAUGAGUUACUGCCACUGCCACAAGGAUGGCAUUGGAGAAGAGUGGUGGAGCAGAAGACUGAAGGCAGUAUUUGCCUCAGUCAUCCAAUUUGAAGCUGCUGGGAUGGGAAAGGCAGAGACAGGAUGAAAAAUGUCAAAAGUGAACUUGUGAAUUGGACUUGAAAAGGAAAUUAGAACAGAUGGCAGAGGGUUUCAGCUAGAGAAAUAAAAAGAGGAGAAACGUGGUCAUUAUGGAGUGAGAAUGGGGUUGAGAUUAAGACCCAUCCACAUAUGGUCUAAAAAUGAAUUAAAAACACUUUGUCCACAUUUUCAGUAGAGAUGAUCGUAUUGAGCAGUGGGACAAAGACAAGAUUUCUAGUGGGAAUAUACAUAAGGGAAUGAAAAUUAUCACAUGUAAGGUGGAAGGAAAAGCAUGAAGAAUUCGGUGUGCUCAGGUGAAGGUGCACUGGCAGAUUUCCAUCCCAGGAUUUGGCACAUUAAAUGAGUUCAGCUUAACCUGAUAUUUCUCUUUGAUGACUGAUUAUUUUUUUAGGCAAAUGAAAUACAGGUGAUUUACUCUAUCCAGAAUCUGAUAUUAUACCACAGGGGAAAUUACUCGUUGAAGUUGAGAUGAUGGGGAUUAGUGUGGAUGGUGAAUGCAAACCUGUUAAAGUGCAGAGGAAAGGGGAGCUCUGAGCAGAGAAGAAAUGCCAGACAGAGGCAGUCAGUAAGUGGAACUCCUCAGGAGUCAGUGUUGAGCUCACUCUUGCUUCUUUCAUUAACGAGUCUGGCACAGCAGUAGGAAUGUAGUAAAGAAAUCUGCUGAGGACACGGGCUUUGUUAAUACAGAGGAUGAUCGGAACAUCAAUCAGCAAUGAGUGAAUGACAGAAUUCAUCUGAAAUAGAAUAGAGAAAGUAUUAAGACAUGCAUUUAGAAAUUAAUAACUAGAAUAUCAUAUUACUCACUUGAAGAUGACAAAGGCAGGGGGGUGGAAAAAAAACCACAGAGAAUAAUUCGCUCCCAGGGAUGACUGUGAGCCACCAAUCUGAUAUGGAGAGGCAAACACAAUCCUAGAAGGUACAGGUUCACUCAUGUUCGAGGAAGAUUAGCAGGUACAGAGAAGGGCAUUGAGGAUGAUCAGAGGGUUUGGAACAAGAGGAGACUAGAAGAGUUUCAUUUGUUUAGUUUUUCAAAACAAAGGCUAGAGGAGAUAGGAUUGUUUUCAGUAAAUAUAUCUGAUAGGUAAAGAUCAGAGAAAAAAGAGAAUUGUUUAAACUACAUUAUGAUGCUGGCACAAGAACAAAUGAUAUUAAGGCUGAAAAUUUUAAAUGAAGUGCUGGGACAACCUGCCAAAAAGCACGAUAUGAUGUAAUUGAAUGUAACAGUAGGAGGCUGGAUCAGUAAUCCAGAGCCCUGUGUUCCUAGAUAACUUCUUUUUUGGGAAGGGAAUUAGCCACAGCAGCUAAAUGCAGGGAAUGGAAAGAACAGCCCGGACCAACACCACAAAGGUGUUCCCAGUGAUGGAGCAGUGCGGUGUGUGGUGCCUAUAUGGAGUGGUUUCUUUCUUAAUAAGAAGACCAGGCCGCAGUGUGUGCUGCUGUACAGCUAAGUGCCAGCUGUACCAGAAAAGCAGUGUCACUAAAACAUUUCGCUGUGGGUUUGAGCUCUUGCUUUUUACCCACAGUGUGACCGUCUUUCACCUCCCAAACCUAAAUAUACAUGGCUGAAAGCACACCUUCAGGAAUGGCUGUCCCAGCACUGCCAGUGGCUCGCAGGCUGUGCAGAGGCUGGAAGCAGGCAGUGUGCUCGGCUCCCCGCUCUGUCCCCUGGAGCUUUCCUUUUCUGAUGCCCUGUUAGGCAGAAUGCCCACUCACGGGGAAUACUGCUGUACCUCUUUGAAGAGAAGCAGUAAAAAGGCUUUUGGCAAAGCAGCCUCUAACCGGCACCUCUUAAAUGAAGCUGGCUGACAUACACGCGUGCUGCAGUGAUGCCCCUGCAGUGGGAAGAGCCCCCUGACCUCAGGGCACGGGACCUGCUGGUCCUGCAGCCCCUCUGGAGCAGGGGCUGAGCAGCAGCUGGUGCUGGGGGCUGGGCUGCUCUGCUCUCCCACAGGUCUGCACCAGGUGCCCCAUGCUGCUCAUCCGAGGGCAAGAAAAUGCAGCUGGCCAGAGUCCUUGGGUUUGGAAGCAGCCCCACCAGCUAACGGGAGGGCCUUCCCUUUUCCUCCCCCCAAGAGAACUGGCAAAUUCAGCUCUUCAAUGGCACGAGCUCAUCUCAGCCUUGCCUAUAAAUAGAUAAAUGAGAUUCCUCCAGUCCCAGUGAGCAAUUCUGACAUCCUCCCUUUGCCUCGCAGAGAGCUGAGUCACAGGCACUCUGCACUCCAGUCCCUGCAUUACUUACAUGGUCUCAAAGGAAAUUUUAACACAUCCAAUGAAUCAUCAGGGAUUGGAUCAUGUUUAAAGUUAUUCCAGUGGCAUUUCCCUUCUAUUGUAGCAAGUCUGCCAACACCUAAAACUUUAGCUAAUCUGGACUCAAAAUGCAUUGAGGAAAUAGCAUGUUGACAUACACAGCUACUAAUACAAAUAACUUAAAAAGUUCUCUUAAAUCUGCAUCAACAAAUAAAUGACCCUUAGUGGGUUCCUUUAGCACUUUGGUCCUGCUAAUUUUGUCAGACUGCUUUGUUUUGUAGCUGCUUAUUUAAAAGAACUCAAAAGUUGGAAAUGCUUUAAUAUUCAGUCUUUAGGUCCCUAAUUUAAUCUCCUGCAGGUUUCCUGCCAAAGUAUUAUUUGCACUGAGAUGGAGCUUGCAGCCCUGUGCUCGGCCUUUCACAGAAAUGCACACAUUCCUGUUCUUACCCACGAUAAAAAUAAAAUGCCUGCAAAGCAAGGACAAAACCAGAGUGGUGUUAAGUAUAAAACACACAGCGUUAUCUGCCGGCUGCACGAGGCUCUGAGCUCCAGCAUGAAGCUGUAUCUCCUGAUGGGGCACUGGCACUUGUUACCCUUCCUUCUCCCACCCGGGACAGUGUAGUCUGAUUGGCUUAAAGCAACACAGCAUCUGCAAUCAGAGGAGGUCUCCUUCUGCCUCAGAAACAACUGAAGAGUGCAAAACUCUCCAGCAGAAUUUGGGAGCUGUGAAACAAAUAGAAACAGAUUUUGCUCUGUUGGUUUUCUGGCUUGCCUUGCUGUAUCUUAGAACUUAUUGGGACUUUCCACUCAUCCAGAAUCCGGUUACCAGACUCUCCAUUUGAAUGAACAAGAAAUGCUAACAUUGGCUGGCUUGCUGCUGUGCUUUAGUACUCUGAGACCUGAAACCUGGCUGGUUCUUUUGAUAACCCUAGGAAUGCUGUGUCUUAUUCAAAUCACAUUUUUCUAACACCUUUUCAUAAAGCAACUCUCUGCCUGUGUGUAGACUGUUAACAAGCAUUUGUGCAACACAUUCCAGCAUGAGCUGCAGUCUCUCCAUGAGAUGAUGUGGCUCCUACACUGAGGCUCACUGGUUUAUUUAUCAGCUUAGCACAGCACAGCUUUGCUUGACAGUGUUCUGCCAGCUGUUACUAUACAAUAGCACUGGGAAAGAAGAUCAGUUUUGGCUCUCAGUGGAAUUGGCCAUAAUUCAGCUACCUGUUGACAAAUUAUGAUUUAUUUAACAGCAUAAACUGUAAUAUUUUUAUAGCUGAUAGUUUUCACCCUUCCCUGCAGCUGGAAAAAAAAAAAAAAAAAAAAAGAAGAGGAACUCCCAGAAGUUCCUCACUUGAAACUGAAGUUUGAUUGUAGUAACGCCUUGUACUGCUGUUUCUGUGCAGGAAAAAUGACAUCUCUAAUGGACAAAUCAGUGGUGUCUGUGUGAUGCUGGAAGAGGGCAGGUGCGUUGAUAGGGAUCACACAGCUUCUUGCUUGGCCUCCUUCCUGCAGCAGUAAUCUUUGCCAUGCAGUGAAGGGAUGGAGGAUGGCUGGUGGGGCCUCCCGAGUGGGGCUGUGCUCUGAGCUGCCAUGGGGACAAGGUGCAGUCCAGGCCUCCGAAUUCCCUGUAAUGCAGCAUGCAGGAUGUGACCUCAGGAGUGCUGGGGGUCCUGCUAAGGAGAGCCGCCUUCACAGAAGGCAAACGAGGUAAGUCAAAAAAAAAGGGGCUUUAGAAUAAUUGUGUAGAUGGCCUUGUUCCACCUGCAGCAGUGAGCUUAGUGUAACUUCUCAGCCCGCACUCCUGCCUGUGCUGGGAGUGGGACAGUGGUGUGGCUGCACCAGGUUGGUAAGGGCUACUUCCAUGUACUGCAUGCUUCCGAAAUAGGGGCCAGUAAUUCAAGCCAAAUGACACAGCAGAUCCACAACAUAAAAAACAACAAUUAACCUACCAAUUUUUGCUCAUGCCUUUAAAAUACGCUCCGCCAAACUGUACUUCAUGACUAUCUCUCAGGAGGGCCAGAUUCUGUAGGACAUGUCCUCAGCUUGCAGAAAGAGAUCAUUAAUCAUUAGUGUGCCCUGGUCCCUGGCUAUUUUAAUCACUGGUGAAAUACUCAUGCAGUUCCCACUCCUAAAAAUGGUAUUUGACUCCAAUGCACAUGAUUUCCUUUGGCUUCCUUUCCCCAUUUAAGAGCAAGCCAUAACAGCCUGGAAGUACAAGCACUAGAAUCCGUAGAUUUGCUUCUCAUUCGCCACAGAGCCAAAGCUUGGUACUGCAGGUAGCAUCUGUGCUGACCAAAAGAUCAGAAUAUAUUGUGACUGGCUGUCUGUGACAGCCCUUCUGCCUACAGACUGAUGGUCAAACCCUGUCCUUUGUCUGUGUGCUUGAGACUCAUGACAUCUAUUCAUUUUGCUGAGGUUUUAUUUUGUUUUCUUUGUCUUUAUAGAGAACCAAAUCUCAACCAGUACCAACUGGGCCCCAGAACAGAGUCCUGCUCUUGGGAAGGCUGUCCUGGUUGUCCCACCAAUUCUCUUAAUUAAACUUGAUCGACUCUGGCCUAAUUAAAAAGACACAGACCAGCAGUAAUCUGCUAAAACUAAAGGUUGCUUGGCAGCUUGGAUUUCUAGUUUUGCUGAAAGUAGUUUAAAACAUGAAGAAAGUUUGCCUUAAUUACCAUAUUUCCUCCAUGAAACAGCUAUUCAUCGAAAACUACAGCCAAGUACCAAAGGGCUCCAGUGAAAGAAGGCACCAAAUUUGCCUGCAAAAUGUUAUUUCCUGCACUGGUCUAAUUCAGAUCAUGUGGCUGACAUGCAAUUUCUAUUUGACUGAAAGCACCACAUUAAAUUAUUCCAGGCAGAUGUUGUGCACUGAAAGCAGUCGAUAACAUCACAGGGCAAUUCAGAAAGGCCCUGUGCAGCCAGAGACUCCUUGCAGCCUGGAACAUGGGUGCUUGAAAGAUGCUGGUGCAAUUGCUUUGAUGUGCAAAGAAAUAUGAACAGUGGCUCAAGCUUAGUACAUCUUCUGCUAUCCAUGCAGAAUUAUCUGCAUGCCAGAAGGGGAUGCUUUGUUUUGGCAAGGUCUAUUGAAAUGUUCGUACUACUUACUUAGCAUAUGCCAGGGAUGGCAACUUCAAGAAGUCCAGGGCAGCACUUAAGCAGAGUAGAAGUGGAUGGCAUCACUUGAGACUGACUGAAAAAAUCAUGAUUGCCUGUGUAUACUUUUCAAAACACAUUUAUUAUAGGAAUUUCUGCAUUUUUCCAAGCCAGAAUGGAGGUGCUAAAUGACAGUGAAGUUUCAAAAGGAACAGCCAAAUUUGUCCUUGAAAUCGUAAUGCUUUGGCCUGGGCACACAGAAUUGGACUCACAGGUCUGCCCAGAAUGCCCUGCAGUGAAAUGGAGCAGGAAUCCCACCUGCAGGGCAUGCAGGAGCCCUCCUGCCUGCCAGCCCCUGGCCAAGUACCAAGUGUCCCCACAGGGCUCUGCACCUGCCCUCCACUCCGAGGCUAUUGGAGGGGUGUGUGACUGGGAGAGCUGUUUUGUGAACAGAUAGGAUAAAAAUAACACCAACUCUUCUUGCUCUCCUAUUCACCACAUGCAGUCACAUAUAUGAAGGGCUUCUUCCACAGAGAUGCAUAAGCAGGAAAUUGUGGCUUACCAGAAGGUAGAAGACACAAGGUUAUAAAGCACUGGUAGAGUUUGUCAGACAUUUAUAUAGGCAGAGUUCCCAUAGCACAUGAGAGAAAGAUCCGCUCAUCCAUGCACCGGCUUCAGGACGGGCUGCAGGAUUGCUCUGUGUGCAUCCCCUGCAUUCGGAGGGCCCCUUCUGACCUCCACAUCCACCACUUGGCUCUCUCCACGGGUCAGAGCUGUGAUAGGAAGAAGGUGGGCAGGCUCAAUCCAGUAUCACAAAGCAAAAAGGGGUUUAUUUUAGCAUAUAAAUAUUCUUACUUUGAGUAAGAUGUGAAUACUAAAGAUAAAAAUUGUAACGUAGGAACAAAAACCCCUUCUGGAUCUUCCUGUUUCCGGUACUAAGAGUCGGUGGUUGUUCUCCAUCCUGGUAGUAGUGGAGCUGCUUCUGUUUAUUCCAUCGGUAGAUACUGGGUUAAAAGCAGAUCAAUUCCAGCCACACCGGGGGAAACAUUCAAUUCCUUCCAUCUUGUUUCGGUAUCAGGUGAAGACACUGCACUGGCUAAAUGAGGAAACAGUCUGCGGCUUCGUACGCAGGGCCAGUCUCAGAAAUCAAAGGCAUCAAAGCAGAAAGUCCUGAACCAAACCACUCCAAAAGCAGCGGCCUGCAAGGCAGCCCUGAGCAGCACGGGUUUCUUUGCUCCCAGCCCAUCCAUAGCUGACAGAAGGGUGCCUUUCUUGUGCCCUUUACCUCCCUUACCUAGUCACACAGCCGCUGGGACCAGGAUUGGCUUUUAGGGCUUGCUUACACAGAGCAGUUGACUAUUCUGCAAUAGCUGCUGCAGGAUGACUUCAUGUGAACGCGCUCAUUCCGCAGCGGCUGUUGGAGCUCCUGAUUCAUACCAUACCUUAACUGGAGUCGCGUCAGCAAGUCAGCGUGCAUUACAAAGUUAAGCAAGACCUGGGACCCAGUCUGGGGUUUCUAGUCACUUCUCCUUUACAUAGAAUUCAGCUCUAACAGAAGCAGUUGAAAUGUUCCUGAGAAUGACAAAUAACAAAUGAGUAAUGCUUGCUCCAGAGCCACGUAGCCCAAUUAAAAAUAGGUAAGUGAUGUGCAAAGGCAAGUCUGUGCAGUCCGGGGAGAGAGAAGGGAAAAAAAGAAAAAUAGGCAUGCAUUUCUAAUCUGUUGGCACAGCCACGUGAAGCAGAAUUCAUUGAUAAACAUACCAAUUAAUUGGUACACAAAGCCCUUUCAAAAAGGUAAUGACUAAAGCAACCAGACGCUGGGAAAAGGACAGUUACUGUUGUGGAGCCAGCUUAAUUUGGUUAUCCAUCUCCCUUGGUAGAGUUAUUAAAGGGGGAAAAGCUUUGAACACUGUUGUAGGGUUCAGUGAAAAUAAAAACGCAACACAUACAAGCUCUCAGAAAUGCAAACAAGGUGUUAGAAUGCAUGAUGGAGGAUAAUUGAAUAUUACAGUUCUGUUUAACAAAUUGCUUCUCUUUGUGCAAUUACUGCAUCUCCGUCUGCCCUAAGCAGGAAUGGAGCUCAGAAUGAGGCGAUGGGGAUGAGCAGAGAGCUGCGACGACUGAGAGCAGUUCAGCAGGAAGAGGAGGAAAGCAGGGAGUUAGCAAGGAGAGGGCAGUUCCCAGCGUAAUGAAAGGCAUUAAGUCUAAAACCACCAACGCUUUCCCAAACAUGAAAAUUGAAUACUGAGAGAGAAAAGAAAAAAAAAAAAAAAGGAAGAAAUGCAGAUGCAAUAAUGUAAGAAGCUAGCACACAUCACUGUCCUGGAAUCUGAGAAAACAAGCUUUUUAAAUACUUCUGACUGAAAGCAUUUAUGGCAGCGCAGCCCUGGGAUGUUAGAGGAAAGGACAUGAGCAGGAGCAUUGCAGGAUGGAGCCCUUCUGUCGGCAGGCACACAGCUGUGCAGGACAGGGGCGCAGUGACAGGCAGGAGCUGCCCAGGGGGGCAGUCGGUGCUCCCUGCUGCCCAGCACGCUGGUGAUGCUGCACGGCCACCUUCCCACAUCCCGUGACUGUCCUGCAACCAGUGGAGUAAUUUCUAAUGCUAAGUAAAGGACCGGUGGCUCGGGGUGCACCCCCCCUGCUCCCCAACACCUUGCUCUUAACCAGCCACGCUCCUGCUGGAGUGCUGCGGUCAGGGGUCGUGUCUCCAGGGUUGGUUUGAGAACGUCUCUGGCUGCAUUUUGAUGUGAUAGCCAGAAAUGAGAGACAGAUACAAGAGGGAGGGAAAGUGCUUGGUUUCUUUCAUUUCUCUCACUUUGCCUUCCAGUUCUCAUGCCCUGAGAUUCAUGCAACAGUGCACUCUCCAUACCACAAUUAACAGUGAAUCUUUUCCAAUCCACUCUGACAGAAACUCCUCCCCCAGCCUGUAACACCACUCCAGCUUGCAAGCAAGCCUUCCCAAAGGCAGACCUGCCCUACCGUGCUCGCCCUGCGCCCAGCACUCGUGCUUACCUUCCAGGCCUCCCUGUGCCGGAGGUCACAGUUGACCAUUGCAAGAACAAUAAGGAUUUUUAGGGGCAUUAUGACUGGGUUAGUAAAACACAGCUGCCCCUGAAAGUCCCUCAUUUUUCUUGCUGCCGCUCAGUCCCCUCCACGUCCCUAGGAGGGCAGAGGUCUGAUGGGCUCCUUUCGCUCCAGCACGGCUCUGCCACCUCAUGCUGGCUUUGCUGAUCUGCCAGCAGCAGCCCAGCCGUGCUGACCGGCCGUGACACAGGCAGUGGAGGUGCAGAACUGCUUUGUCAUCGCUGCAGGCUCCCUCCUAAGCAAACGCUGCGCUGCACUUCAGCGUAACGCCAGAUGGCUCGUCUGUCACUCGGCAGAAAUGCCAUCAGGCAAAGCACACCUCACCGUAAGCAACCCUCAAAUGCCCCCCAAAUCACCAGGGCAAAAUGAAGCAAUGGCCUGUCCUGCCAGCACUCAGUGCACCGCACUUUGCCCAUUAAACACAGGGAUCCCAGCGCCGGUGAGCACCUGCUGUGUGUGCACUGUGACGCAGCCCCGCGGCGGUGGGAGGGGGUCACAGCGCCCGCCCAGCUGCACGAGCAGUUGUUCUUGAUUUAUUAAUAAAGCUGAGGGUUCAAUUAGGUAAUUGCCACUGAUUUCUCAACCACUUUCAGUUUAUGAGAUUUUUAAGAGCUAUAUUUUUCCUACUAAAAAGGUGCCAAGUGGUUGGCUGGGAAUUUUCAACCUCAUUUACAAAUCCUCUUGGAAUUCCCAGCCCAACCCAGCAUGUUCAUAGGGCAAGGAGCAGCACUUUUCUUUUAACUCCUUGGUAAUUUGAAUGUUGAUGGCAGUGGACUCAACAAAAUCCAUAGGCAGAUUCCCAUGGGUGCUCCUGCCCUGCUGUUUCCCUGAGCUCACUGUGGGGUGCUGGAUGGGCACACCAGCCCCAUGCAUGCUGUGGGAAGCCCCGUGGGCUGGGCAAGCACUCUGCCCUUGAGGACAGAGCUCUGGGAGCUGCUCCGGGGCUCCCGGGGCCUUUGGAGCAGAGCAGGGAACCACUGAGGACUCGCAGCGCUAUUUUUUUUCUCCCCCUCUUGCAUUAAAAAUGCCCUGCCCCUCAACGAAGGACCCAUUCCCAGCAGUUACAGGUUAGGACAAACACGACACUGUCUCCAUAACCCACAAAGUGUGCUACGAGCAGCCAUCUCACACAGCUGGGGUGCCCCUGUCCAGGGCAGGCCCAGGCGCUCUGCAGGGCUCACUUGCGCUGUGUUACAUCCAGCCUCAGAACAAUGGGGCUGAGCUGCAGAGCUGCGCCGUGUUUGGAGUUGCUGCCGUUCAAACAUGCCAUCUCCAGGGACACGGACGGGGCCGGCGCAGCUGUUCUGCAUGCAAUGGGAAUGCUGAGGUUCGGGCAGCCCAAGGUCCCGGCCACGUGCAGCACAAGAUGAAUAUCCUCACCUGUCUCACCAGCGAAUGAUGCUCCAUGGCAGCAGCCAGCCUGGCACACAGCAAAUGCCUCAGCCCCUCUCAUUGCUGUACGAAGCCACACCUAAUUUUCAUUUAGAAUUUCUUCUAACGCUGGGAAGUUAAAUGAAAGCAACCAUUAUGCCCUGAUUUGGUAAUAAAACAUGAGCUGUGAUUCUGAUCCAAACAUUAUUUGCAUCUUUAAAAAAAUAAAAAUGUAACAGCAGUAUCUUAAUAAAAAAAAAAAGGAGGAGCCCCCUGAAUGCUGAUGACGUUGGUGUCCUAAAUGAAGCAUAAAAGCCAGAUCCUGUGAGAUGCAAAGCAUGAGUCAGAGUGUCAGCAGCCCCACACUGCAAGCAGCGCUGCUGCUUCAUUCGUUUAAGGAAUCAAUUCCUUUGCCAUGAGCACCAAGUAGUUUCUACGACUAAAAUUAAAAUGAGAUGCAUGCCGUUAUUAUUUUCAAAAGGUUCUUUUUCUUUUUUCCUCUUGGAAUGACAACAAACAGCUCUCUGUAGUUGGAAGGAACCCCAGGUAAGGACCAGGUCCCCGCAGCACUGCUGUUGCGCUGACUCAGAAGACAACCCGGUGAGACCCUGCAGGGAACCUCCCCAGCAGCACAAGCAGAUGGAGCUCACCAGGGCAGAGCACAGCAGGCAGGUGGACUCACCGCAGAUUUCAGCCCGGUUAGGCUCUCUCACCCUGAUUUUGUUUUACUUGCACUGGGUAGCUGGCAGACUCCUGCAGGAUGGAUGUGUCCCGCCCUGGGGAACCCCCCUUUGUGGAGGGUUUACGUGUUCCUUCUUGAGCUGGAAAAGCAGCACACGGCUCCGUGUGCCACACAGGGACGUGCUGCUCCUGCUGCCACAGGAGCACGGCCAGACUUCAGCAUCAGAGCACGAGUCCCUGGGUUACAGUGAGGUCAGGGGGAGGAUUUGGGACUGACGGCUUUUUGGCCUGUUAGAUUUGAAAUUCAUAAAGCACGAGAACAGCACAGAAAGAAACCAAAGGUAGGAAGCGAAUGCAGUUUCUAAAAUUCCUCCAGCUUUAGUCAUUGAAGAGGAUUGUUAGAAACGCACAAAGGGCCGUUUCCCUCAAUUUUUUCAGUGUGAAUUUCAUCUUGACAGUUUCAUUUCAGAAACAAAAAUUGAAAACAAAUUGUGCUAUACACAAAACAAAGGGGCAGAUCCUCAUCUGGAAUAGACUGGUAUUACCAAAUGAGUAACACCCGCUCACAGCAGAGGCUCUGGCCCUUGUGACAGCGGCUGCCUGCUGCCAUCCUGCUCUGCCCAGCCAACAGCCUCAGCCUCUGGUUUCAGCUGGCCGCAGAGCUGACUCCAGGUAGCCUGCUGGAGACAAAGAGCUGCCUUCAGAGCUGCUGAGUGUGCACAGUGCUUCAGGGACCCCGUGUGCACCCUGCUCUCCAGAAGUGGGGCUGUUUCCAGGUGGGCGAGCCAGAGGAUGCAGCACCGAGAAAGCAGCCGAUGCCAGCAGGGCCCUGAAAGUAAUGAGCUGCUGUGGAGAAAUACUGGCAAAGCAGGCUUCCAGAAUCCAGUUAUUUAUGGGAUUUACUCUCUGAAAAGAAGCAUUUCUCAGAUUUUUCUUUCAAAACCAACACUGGGCUGAUCAUCAUCUUGAAAAUUAGCAGAGGUCCCCAAGAAAAUAUUAACUGCAGCGCAAGACAACGAAUGCAUGCCUGAAUGUGGUCUGAUCUAUGCCAAACAAGACCUGCCCCAAGAGAGACUGGCACAGCACAACUGUGCCUGGCAUUUGGGAAAUCCCUUCAGCCACAAAUGAGUUACUAAUAGGGCAUAAUUAGCUUUGGGUCCUGCCACCACAGUCUCACUCUGAUCGGGCUGUCCUUUGUGCAAGCCCAAGCGUGCUCUAGAAGUCACCACGCCAGCUGGGUUCAUUGCUUCUCUCACCCGAAAGGAAACAAAAUUACACACAUUGGUUAAAUUCAGGAAGCUUCUCACUUUGCCAGUUAUCAGAAGACAUACUGACUGCUGCUGUCCUCAGUGGCAGCCCGGCUUCCAAGCAGAACAUCAGGCUCUCUGUCCUCAUUGUGCUGAGACACUCAAACGAACACACAGCCGUGCACUGGUGGAGGAGCACCCAUCUCCCAGGGCUGACAAGGGGUGGUUUUGGCCAUGGGCAUUUUACAAUUCAUUUCCUUUGAAUUCUUUUGUUUGGAGCAUCAUUUCUCAGCUCUUACACCUCUGCCACCAUCAGCAAGAGCUGGGAAGCCAGAGUUAUUUUUAGGGGAUGGUACAUUUAGGCCCUGUUAAUCUUGACUGGUCCCUUUGAAAAUGACAACGUUGGAUAAUCAAACACAUUACACAGAGUUUCCAUGGAGCCUGCUUGGAAAACUACCCUCCCACCUUUCAGCAAUGGAGGGGCCAAUAGUUCAGAUAGCAGCAUUUAAUACUGCGUCGACUUUCCUCAUUACCGUGACCUCCCUAGCAUUUAUAUGCAGAGACCUCCCAGAAGAAGGAAAUUAUGGCACCUGACUUUAAGUAUAUAAAAUAGAACAAUUAGUCAUCAAAAUGUCUUCUAGAAGCUCCAUAUUAUACCCAUCCCAAGCAGCAAAAGACCAUUAUCCAGCUCAGCCUGGCACAGAAGAGGAUGACAGCAAUGCCUGGUCAAAUGGUGUGGUCAAACAAACAUGUUGGCAAAACAAUCCCAGAGCAACGGGGAAGGAGCUGCUGGUGUGAAGGCGAAUGCAUUAAAGUGGUUGGCACAAGGAAAGGGACGGGAAGGGAGAAUGCUAGGAAAAAACUCCAGGGGAGGAGCUCUGGCUAAAAGAGGCUACAUGACUGCUAGUAAAUUAAACAGUGCAGGGACCAGCCAGUCUGCAAUCACCUAGCCACCAACACAGGGCAGCCGCAUCCAAACAGCCUGUUAGUAAUGGUCCCUGGCCCACACAGACUUUCACAUCAUAUCCAGGGCUGGCUGGAAAAGUCCCAGGCCAAAGCUCUGCCCAGGACCACACCAAGCACACGGCCAUCAGCUUUGCAGUGGCCCACGGGUACAGCCACGCAGCACAGCAGCGCAGGCGUCUCAUUGCAGCACUGCACACAUACCUGCUGGGUCCCAGCUGAGGGCAUCACUGCAGAUCUGCACCUGGACUGAUCAUCUACAGGAGAGGCAGAGGUGUGCUGUGGUCAUCAACCCACCAGCACUGCCUCCAAUUCGGAAUCUACCUGCACUCUGACCAGUAAGUUAGGAGAGAAGCAGCCAGGCAAGCUUGGCUUUGUUGGAGCAGAAUCAAGUCUGGCUGGUAUUAAGGAAAGCAAAGCGUUACAGGAGAACAGCAGGAAAUUGCUAAGAGAAAGGGAUUUUUAAAUAACUUCAUUUUAAACAAAACUAGGGAAUUACCAUAAAAUAAAUGGCCACACCUUGCUACUCACACUGUUCUGCCAACAAGACUAGCUUUUCCAUAGCUAUUCAAAUAUGAGACCUGGGUGCCUAACCAGCUCUCUCAAGCUGGUUUCCAAACUCCAGCCAAAAAUCACUUUCUGAUUCACCACUUUCUCAGGCACACCAGUAUGCAGAGUACGCCUGCAGGCUGGUACUGUGCUGUACAAAGCACUUAAGCACACAUUUAAUUACACCGUGGACCAGGGAUGUGAUUAAUCAUAUGCUUGAAGUUAAGCAUGUGCUUAAGCAUGCUACUGACCUGGAGCUUGAAGUAGAUCUAACUGCUACUGUACUGCUCCCCAUUUUCCAGUUCUUUGAGGCUCAAUAAUUGGAAAGGUUGUAAGAACAUCCCUGUGGUUGUGCACUCCUAAGACUUCAUCCAAACUCUGGUUUCAGACUUUUUUUUUAAUGGCAAUUUUUGGAAUUAAACUGCAUUCUCCCCACGCCCUCCCCAGCACCAAUUAUGGGCAUGACAGCAGUAUGGAUAUUAUUUAUCAGCAUUAAAACAUGAUGCAGUUAUUAUCAUUCACAAACAUUUUCAUUCAGUUGGGCUGGAUGAUCUUGGUGAUCUUUUCCAACCAUACUGAAUCUAUAAUAUUUUAUGCCUGAGGAGUGUACAAAGUUCUCAAAAGAAAUAUGAAGCACAUCACUGCUAGCAGCACUCAUCUCAUGGAAGAACUCAACCAUAAAACACACAUCAGCUAUGGGUGGCCACGUAAACUCACAUUUCAUUAGCUGCAAUGUACGCCAUCCCGGCCAUUUUUCUCACUGCACCACCUGUCCACCUUCUGAGCAAAGCCUUAUUCCUACUUCAUCACAAUUUCAGGGAGCUCAGACUGUCUCCGGUCGCCAGGGAGGAGCAAGCAGAGGAGCAGGGGAGCAGACAGCUCCUCUUCCUAAGGCACAGCUGAGAGCCUCCUCAGUGACAGAGGAAACCACUGCACAGGGACAUGGAGGGAUGGACCAGAGCUGCAUCCUGAGGCAGGCGUGUGAGUGCCAGCUGGAGCGGCCCUGCAUCAGGGAGCACUGUGCCCACGUUCACCCCAUAAAACCAUCUAACACUGACCAGCCAGGAGAUUGCAAUGAAAGCACAGCACGUGCAAAUCCAUUUCCAAUCAGCAAUGGAGAGCAGAGGAGGUUUGAUUACAAAAGAAGAGGCACUGGUCUCUAAAGGAGGUCUCCUUUGAGAAGGAGAAUAGUCCAACCCUGUGUUUGCAGAAGCCUCCUUAGAGCAGUUACGGGACCUUCCUCCUCAUUUGCUAUGUUCCUUUAUUUCAGCUGGACAGAACUUGGCAACAGGAAGCUGAGCUCGUGUUCGUAACAUCACUGAUGUUUUAGAGAACAGGUUAAAGAAACCCAAAUUCACUUGUCACAGACCUGUAAGUCACAGCAACAUCCAGAAAAGCACAACUGCACCACUCGGUGCCUGCUGAGUGCUGCCAGCACACCUUGUCGGAGGAGCAGCUUCAUAAACACAAUUUUUAGGGUCCUUUCCAUGGACAGCCUGAGGUUGGUAUUUUCCCUUAGGCCCCACAGACUGAGGGACGUUGCAUAUUGCAAGCAGGGGCACCAGGACCAGCUGGCAGCAAAGUGCUGAGUGUGGAAACCCUCUGCCUCCCACUGACCACCCCCUGCUGCUCCUCAUUAGCUGCCAGCUCAGACACCAUGGCGGUGUACUCAUUUUUAUUUUCAGCUCUUUUCCUGCCUGGCCGUCAGCUCAGCAGUGCUGCUUACACUCAAAGCUGUGCCUAGAAUAGUGAAGUUGAGGGGAAUUUCACCUAAAAAACCCCCAAGUAUUUGGCCAUCCCUUCAUUGAUCAGAAGUCAUUGUGGUGGGAGAUCAUUUCUGGAAGCCGAAUUGGGAUAUAUUCCAUUUCUUUCAUCCAAACUAAGGUACUCCCUUCCACAUGUAGGUUUACUCAAGGAGAAGACGAUGGAGCAGAGGAAGAGCGUAUCACUGCCCUGCAGCAGUCUGUGCAGCACCAACUACGGCUGCAGCCAACCUCCAUGCCCUGCACAGCCCACCGUGCUCACAGCAGCCUUGCUGUAUGUAUUUUUAAGCACUCAAACCUGUGCUUGCUGCUUGCAUGCAACCGCUCAUAACUCAGCAGUGGUGUCUAACAAGGUUGGCUAGCUAGUUACAGCAUAUUUCUAUUUGGAAAAUGCACUUUGAAGUUCAAAAAGGGGUAAAGUUCAACAAGUUGCAGACUUUGCAAAGGCUCCUUUCUGAACGCACUGCUGUGAAGCGAUGAAAGCUCUCACGGCUGCUCAUCCACAAUCACUGCCAGCCCCCGAACUGACAGCACGGGGCAAACCCUGCCGGGGCACCCACAGCUCCCCGGAGAUGUUUCAGGGCAUAACUGCUGUGUCAAUGGAGCUCUGUGCUCUCAUCCUGCGACACAACCAACCUCCAAUCCCAAUUUAUAUUAUAGGCUUAAAUUCCUAUCAGAUGCUUUGAAACAAAACCGCAGUUUGUGGGUUUGUUUUUUAAGGCAGUAAUGUCUUAAACUAUAAAGACAUCCAAAACUUUAUGUAACGACCAUUACAUAACACCUCAAACUGGCUCUUAAGCAUUUUCCUUACUCUUUGGAGUUCUUACACUUUUAUUUGGGGCAUGUGAGACAACGAGUUAUACAAGUGCAGUUACUCACAUGGGCCGUGUUUGGAGGGAGCGACGGAGAAGAGCUCUCUGCAGUGGAAAUCUUAAAGGGAGAAGCUUCUUUCUAUGUAAAUAAGUUUGCAAGACACAGAAAAAGCAUUCUCUCGUUGAGUUUCACUGCUCUUAAUGAUCAGUUACAGAAACUGAGAACCCAGGAAGCAGGGCAGAGAUAGUGCUAGCUUUAAAGUCUGAAUGCAUGCAGAGCCUCCAAUGGCACACAGCAUGAAUGUCAUAAAUGUGUGUGAAUGUUCUCAUUCAGGCUGUGAUUUACUCCCCAAGGAGAUGCACAGCUAGCUGAAAUAUGCUACAUGCAAACCAAACCCUUCCAAUGAAGUGAGUGCAGUAUGUGAAUCCUGGAGCUAAAUUUAACACAGCUCUCAUCUCAGCAGAGCUCCCAGCAUUGCAGCUAACGCUGCAGCUCACACGGGCAGAGCUGUGCCGGAGUUCUGCUCCUUCGGUCCACUGCUCUGGAUGAUGUUCCUGAAGCUCCUCACUAACUCAGAUUUAAGAAAUUCAGGGUGAUUUAUUCAGCUGAAUUUUGU